UGAGGAAUAUUGGUCAAUGGGCGAGAGCCUGAACCAGCCAAGUAGCGUGCAGGAAGACGGCCCUACGGGUUGUAAACUGCUUUUAUGAAGGAAUAAAGUCACCCACGUGUGGGUGUUUGCAUGUACUUUAGGAAUAAGGACCGGCUAAUUCCGUGCCAGCAGCCGCGGUAAUACGGAAGGUCCGGGCGUUAUCCGGAUUUAUUGGGUUUAAAGGGAGCGUAGGCCGGAGGGUAAGCGUGUUGUGAAAUGCAGUUGCUCAACAUACUGCACUGCAGCGCGAACUGUUCUCCUUGAGUGCGCAGGAAGUAGGCGGAAUUCGUCGUGUAGCGGUGAAAUGCUUAGAUAUGACGAAGAAC
rnacentral:rRNA from 1 species